CGUACCCCUCAACCCCCGAUCUGCUUCGGCGGAUCGAGCGGGCUUGGACCGUGGCCGCACUGGCCGGCGCAACUGAGCGUCUGGCCCGGCCGAAAUGCAUGCGAAGCGCUUAUAUCUGUGCGCCGCGACGACCUAGCGUUGUAGACACCUCGCUAGAUCCGAGUCGGUAUGACAGGAGCUUCAGCUCGAACCU
rnacentral:misc_RNA from 1 species